AAAAGCUUGCAGCCAACGAUGCAACACAGCAGCUAUCCUGUGGUGGUCUGGGAAGCAAUUUGGAACAAUGGUUGAUCAGAACUAGUGGAGUGUGAGGGAAACAUAAACUCAGAUAAAUAUGUGUCCAUAGUGCAGAAAGGCUUCUUUCAAAUUGAUCGGAA